UCCUACGGGAGGCAGCAGUGGGGAAUAUUGGACAAUGGGCGAAAGCCUGAUCCAGCCAUGCCGCGUGCAGGAUGAAGGCCUUCGGGUUGUAAACUGCUUUUGUACGGAACGAAAAGACUCUGGUUAAUACCUGGGGUCCAUGACGGUACCGUAAGAAUAAGCACCGGCUAACUACGUGCCAGCAACCGCGGUAAUACGUAGGGUGCAAGCGUUAAUCGGAAUUACUGGGCGUAAAGCGUGCGCAGGCGGUUAUAUAAGACAGAUGUGAAAUCCCCGGGCUCAACCUGGGAACUGCAUUUGUGACUGUAUAGCUAGAGUACGGCAGAGGGGGAUGGAAUUCCGCGUGUAGCAGUGAAAUGCGUAGAUAUGCGGAGGAACACCGAUGGCGAAGGCAAUCCCCUGGGCCUGUACUGACGCUCAUGCACGAAAGCGUGGGGAGCAAACAGGAUUAGAUACCCUGGUAGUCCACGCCCUAAACGAUGUCAACUGGUUGUUGGGUCUUCACUGACUCAGUAACGAAGCUAACGCGUGAAGUUGACCGCCUGGGGAGUACGGCCGCAAGGUUGAAACUCAAAUGAAUUGACGGA
rnacentral:rRNA from 1 species